ensembl:lncRNA
GCCGUAACAAACUACUCCUAGAAAUUGUAUGACAUUUUAUAAUUUUUUUUGGUCAGUCUAAUCUAAAGGCCUUUGCGAUGUUAAAUUGUGAACAUCUUGAGGUUUCAUUAAAGGGUGUGGCCAUGGCGCCAUGACAAAGUUCGAUGUCUCGCCAUGGGAAUAGAAGUUGUUGUAACUCAGGCAUAAGAUGUCCGAUCUUCCCCAAACUUCACAUGUUCGAAAAGAGUCUUGGCCUGAACACAUCUGAAGGUCAUUAUUCCACUAUAAUCAUAGCGCCACCUGCUGACAACAGAAAAUGUCUUGUUUUACACUAACUUAAACAUGCAAUGUCCAAUCUGCACCAAACUUCAAAUAUUUGAUAAGAGUCAUGGCCUGAAGAUAUCUAAAGGCCAAUGUUCAGUUAUAAUCAUAGCGCCACCUGUUGGCAAUAGGACACAACAUGCUUUAUACUAACUCAAACAUUCCAUGUUCAAUCUGCACUAAAUUUCAUAUGCUUGAUAAAAGUGCUGGACUGAAGAAAUCUACAUGACAAAAUCCAGUUAUAGUCAUAGCGCCACCAGCUGUCAGCAGGCAGAUUGGCACAUAUGAAUGACUUUGACAUAUUCCUCUUAUAUUUACCACAUUAAAAGCAUAUUUCUCGCCAUUCGCUGUUUUACAAAAGCCACCCGGUGGCGGUGAGCCCGGGUGCGAGGGCCCGUUCAUCGCUGCUUGCAGCUUUAAUUAGGGCCCGAGC